GGCGCUAUAGACACAGGUUCGGUGGAUCUUCCCACCCCGAACACUGUUUAUAAAUGGCGCCAGAAGAAUGUCGAUCACUGAACCAUUGGUGUUGCUGUAAACUACUGGCCACACUUCACUGAUUUGUGACCCACACUU
rnacentral:snoRNA from 1 species